ensembl:lincRNA D930016D06Rik RIKEN cDNA D930016D06 gene
UAAGUCUUAAAAGCUGUUUUCCUGUGUUAUGACAGUUGGAUAGUUUUCAGUAGAGCAGUACUGAAAGCAAUCCAUUUUUUUAGUGCCUAAAAAGCAUAAACACACCCUCGAUCUGUGCUGCUUUGCUGAUUAGCUGCCUCCUCCCACAUCGUUGAUAAGAGAGAUUUGUACAACUCCUGUGUGCCAGGCCCUGGUCAAAGCUGAUGGUCUCUCCUCUCCCUCACAGACUGCCUCUAAGCUCUUCAGAUUCAUGAAUUUUAACAAGUCCAUGAGCCAGCUCUCAACCAUGUCAUGAUGUGCCAAAAAAACCUGAUGUUCUUCACUGUUUCCUUGGCAUAUGCCCAGUUGGCAUUCAGUUGGAUGACUUAGGUACCUUCCAGGUAUAUGAAAGUCUGAAACAGUAGUCACAGAACAUGACGUGGAAUGAAUUCAGAAAUUGAACAUGAUUGUCAGCACAUGAAAGGUGCCUCAGGGAGAGUGCAGUGACUGACAAGUGGUGACUGUGAGAUGCACAGGGAACAGAUGGAGCAGCUGGUGCGGUGCAUGAAAGGUCAAGUGCUGGGACUGAAGGUGUCCUGUUGCAGACAGGCCAGUGUCUCAGUGUGACCAUGAGAUUCAGCAGUCAGCCUUGCCCAGGUGUCCUCUCCAGUCUCCAGUGGACCUGGAAGUUGGAGGCAGAAGUGGGGGUGCCAGGAUCCACAUGUGUUACUGUGUGGUCCUGAGUGGAUUUGCCAUAACAAGUACAUUACUUAUGUCUGGUUUAUCAUACGAUGCUGGUCUUUAUAACUAAUCAUUAACCUUCUACACUAUUUUCCAUAAGCUUUACCCAUGGAUGAAAGAUUUUUUAACUUUUCCUCACAUGAUAGAUCUAGACUUUGAAAUAUUGAACUAAGGGGAAAAAACCUGGAAAGUAUGUUGAGAAGUACGCACAAUUGCUGCCCUGCCUAACUCUUCAGGUGACAAGUAGCUUUCUAAAGCUUGGAACUGUCAAAGGACUUCUGAGUAUGCUUCCAGCCACAAGUCAGUGCUGACAUCUUAACCAGUGUGUGGAGGAGGAGAGCAUUGGUUUCCACACUGAGGCAGCUCUGUGGUGGUUGUUCCUCUCAGGUACCCUCUACUGGUAAACUUGAACUAUACUGACAGACCAUAGCACAGCUAUGUCCCCAUUGUGCUGGAGUUUGUAUGAAUAGUUAGGAUGUUAAUACUACAUUUUUUUGCCUUCUUUCUCAUAGCUAAUGUCUAUGGAACUAGCUGUAUUACUUGUUUUUUGUUUUGUUUUUUAUUGUUAUAGCUCUGUUAAAUGGCCCCCCAAAUUUCCAGAUAGUAUCCCUAACUGCAACAGAAGAAUUUUAUGGAUCCUUAACUCACAAUAAGUUUGACUUUCAACAAUUUGUUCAGUGUGAAUAUUUUUAUGUCUUUUUCAUGCUUCCACUUACUUGAAACUCAGUUUAUUCUUAAAAACUGUCUAGUAGAACCAGCUUAUUAAGUGUUACUUUGGUAUGCAGUGAAAUGGUCAAUUAAGCAAUAUUGAAGAAAGAUACUUUGACUGUUUUGAAAUUUAUUAUGAAUCAUAAAACAAAAAUCAUUUCAUAGUAUUUCAGAGAUAAAGUCUCAACUGUUCUUAGUCCAGUAUGUCAGUAGAAUUUAUAGUGCAAAUAAAAUUUGCUUAAUUAAAAGAUUUUUUUUGAAAGUCCGUCUAUUAUCAGAAAGCACCAGGAAGAAGUUGUAUUAGUAGCUGCUGUUUUCAUUGGAAGAGUUUUUCAUUAAAUUUCUGUGUAAAAUCUAUUCUUAAUAAGAGAUUUUGUUUGUUUUCCAAACAUACUAUAUAGUAUGAUCUUUUGCAAUCGAAAUGGAUAAGGAAGAAACGAGUGAGGGCUGGUGAUGGUCUUAUAACCACUACAGAAACUCUGUGUUUAGUGCUGUAUCUUGUCUUCAUUCUCAUGUUGAUUAAUUACUAGAUGUUGUCAGUCAUGUCUCCAAUGAAAACAGGAGUGAUAGGGCUUUCUGAGUCAGUUGAUGAAUGAAUCAUACUAAUUUUUAGCAGUUUUUUCAUAUAAUUUUGUCUCCAUCUUUUCAGUAUGUUGACCAAGUUCUUCUAGGUGGUAAAGUUUGUGUUCCAGGUAUAUUGAGUUUAUGUAUUUAUCAUGUAUGCACUAUUGUUAGGUGAAAACAUACUUCAACUUGAUGGGCAGCUAUUAUUCAGUAUUCAUGUAUACUAAUGUUGAUAUAUAUUAGAUACUGUGUUUUACUAUACCUACAAGGUUAUACAAAAUUCUUUUCUUUUACUCAUGAGUUCCAUUUGUUUGGAUUUUUGGUUUGUUUAGAUUUUUUUUCUUCGUGUGUUAAAAAAUAUAGUUUAAUGCUUUUCCUGGUACCUUGCCCUUUGUUGGCAUAAUUGGAAUAUAAAUCGUUCAAAUCUCCACAAUUAAGAGUUUCAGAAAUAUGUGAUACUGGCCACUUGACUUAAUAAAGACUAGAUAUACAAAACAGGUAGAAAAAAAAUACCUAUUUCCUCACUAAAAACAAUUGAAUAUUUUUCUUAUUAUUAGCAAAUAUUAGUAAUAGCAUAGACUAUGAAUAAUUUCUAUAUGUUUUGGCAAGCACAUAGUGAGACAAUGCUUAUUACAGUAAGUACGCAUUUCAGUUAACUAACUGGGCACUGUAAUUCCAAUAGGGCUGUAAUGCAUGGAAACUCACUCUUCAGAUUCCUUAGAGCUGUAACCUGAGACAGUUGAAGGGCCCAUAGUUCAUUUGGGAGGUGUAGAUAGUAGUGAAGCUGAGGAAGCCUGGAAAGGAAAGGUGUACAGAGGGUGUGCUGUCAAGCUGGCUAACACUGCAGGAUGCUAGAACUGUAUUUCCUUUGUGCUACUCUGGAAAAACUAGAACACACAAUUCAGACAUACCUCAUGUGAAGAAUUGGGAUACAGAACUAGUUUGGGGCAGUGGUAGCUAUCCUGUACAGUGAACAGUUCUUGGCAACUUGUGAUCAAGAGCUGUAGCUGGACAUGAUGGCACAUGCUUGCAGUUCCAGCACCUGAGAGGUAGAAUCAGGAAGACCAGGAGUUUAGGGGGAACCUGGGCUACAUGGACUGUGUCCAAAAAAAAAAAAAAAAAAAAAAAAAUAGAGAAGAGCAGUAGCUGAAGAUUGGUAGACCCAGACUAUCAUUAUAAUACCCACAUCGUCCCUUACAUGUAUACUUGACAGUCCAGCCUCGUAGUACAGUCAGAUGGCAUCCUGUGCGCUUGCACUGCAUGACUGUGUAGCCCACGCAGGCAGAGCCAGGCAAGACUGAAAGGCACAAUGAGAAGACAGUGCUGUGGUUCUGACCCUGGUGGUCUUUACUAUCCAUGUGACCAGGUCUCAUCUGUAAGAUCAGAAGAUGAAUCAGUACACACCACUCUCAGGUGUGUUUGCUCUGAAGCACAUUUGAGCUGAACUUUGCGCAGAAGAGAGGAGGAGGUGCCUUGUUUUACAAAGAGGGAGGUCUGUUUAAUCAGCAAGAUGGAAAAGAUUUCUUGGCAAUUUAAAUUUUCAAAGGCAAAAAGGACAGAUGUUGUCCAGUGAAAAUUAAAAACUUACCUAAAAGGCUUUUUUAAGUUUCUACUUGAACACAUAUUUCACAACUGCAGGUUUGGGCUUCUUUUUCCCUUAUGUUACAUCAUGAACAUGCCACAUGUUAACGUGUAUAAUAUACAAAGUAUGUAAUGUAAUGUAAAUUGAUAUUGUAUGACUGGUUAUAUCUACAUAUUAAUACUAAAUUAUGAAUGUAUAAUUGAUGUGAAAUAAAACACAUCCCUGAUAUUGAA